UUUCUUUGUAUCAAAUUAUAAAUUAUGGUAUCGACUUGAUCUUAUGUUACUAUAUCCAGGAUUUUCUUAGUAGCAUACUUGGAUUUAAAUAGACGUAUUAACUAUGAGAAGGAAUAUAACAAUAUUGUUGACUACCAAAUGUAAGAAACGAAUGAAUAAUCAGGCUUUGCUCAGAGUUUCAGUAUAUCUUCAAGAAAUUC